GUUUUAAUGGUUUAAUAAAAACAUUGGUCUUGUAAACCAAAAAUAAGAUUGAUUCUUUUAAAACU
rnacentral:tRNA from 1 species